UCAGAAACACCCUGAGUCCUUCUUUGCCCUGGCCAGGGAGCUGUACCCAGGACAGUUUAAGCCCACAGCAUGUCACUACUUCAUCAAGUUGCUGAAGGUCAAGGGGCUACUCAAAUGCUGCUACUCACAGAAUAUUCACACCCUGGAAAGUGUAGCAGCAGGACUGGAGGGAGAGGACCUGAUUGAAACCCACGGCACCUUCUACACCUCACCGUCAGAUUUAUGUGCUGGAAAGAGUAGGACUUGGACUGGAUG